rnacentral:RNase_P_RNA from 1 species
ACAUACGGCGGCGGGGCGGCAUUGCGUUCGCUCUGAGGAAAGUCCGGGCUUCACAGGGGCAUGGUAACUGCUAACGGCAGCCGGGGGUGACCCCAGGGAUAGUGCAACAGAAAUAGACCGCCGGGUUUCGGCCCGGCAAGGAUGGAAAGGCGAGGUAAGAGCUCACCAGCGCACUGGCGACUUUGCGGCUAUGUAAACCCUGCUCGAAGCAACAUCCGUAUGGGACAUUAUGCGGAGUCUCGCGCGUCCCGGUGAUGGCGUGAGCCUUGCGGUGACGCAAGGACAAGAUAGAUCGUCGUUUAAUACAGAACCCGGCUUACGGUCCGGUC